CCUACGGGAGGCAGCAGUGGGGAAUUUUGGACAAUGGGCGCAAGCCUGAUCCAGCAAUGCCGCGUGAGUGAAGAAGGCCUUCGGGUUGUAAAGCUCUUUUGUCAGGGAAGAAACGGCAGUUUCUAAUACAGAUUGCUAAUGACGGUACCUGAAGAAUAAGCACCGGCUAACUACGUGCCAGCAGCCGCGGUAAUACGUAGGGCGCAAGCGUUAAUCGGAAUUACUGGGCGUAAAGCGUGCGCAGGCGGUUUUGUAAGUUUGUCGUGAAAUCCCCGGGCUCAACCUGGGAAUGGCGAUGAAGACUGCAAGGCUAGAAUCUGGCAGAGGGGGGUAGAAUUCCACGUGUAGCAGUGAAAUGCGUAGAGAUGUGGAGGAACACCGAUGGCGAAGGCAGCCCCCUGGGUCAAGAUUGACGCUCAUGCACGAAAGCGUGGGGAGCAAACAGGAUUAGAUACCCUGGUAGUCCACGCCCUAAAACGAUGUCUACUAGUUGUCGGGUUUUAAUUAACUUGGUAACGCAGCUAACGCGUGAAGUAGACCGCCGUGGGGAGGUACGGUACGGCGAGAAGUUAAAACGUUAAAAGUAAAGUUAGUACGGACGUGAGAGUAGCCGACGACGACGACGAGGGAGAGG
rnacentral:rRNA from 1 species